CGGGACACGUGGUAUCCUGUCUGAAUAUGGGGGGACCAUCCUCCAAGGCUAAAUACUCCUGACUGACCGAUAGUGAACCAGUACCGUGAGGGAAAGGCGAAAAGAACCCCGGCGAGGGGAGUGAAAAAGAACCUGAAACCGUGUACGUACAAGCAGUGGGAGCACGCUUAGGCGUGUGACUGCGUACCUUUUGUAUAAUGGGUCAGCGACUUAUAUUCUGUAGCAAGGUUAACCGAAUAGGGGAGCCGAAGGGAAACCGAGUCUUAACUGGGCGUUAAGUUGCAGGGUAUAGACCCGAAACCCGGUGAUCUAGCCAUGGGCAGGUUGAAGGUUGGGUAACACUAACUGGAGGACCGAACCGACUAAUGUUGAAAA
rnacentral:rRNA from 1 species